GGAAGGAUCUCUGGUUGGAGAUCCCUCCCUUGUGGAGUUUCUGUUGCAAGCCUAGAUCUUCAGAGCCAGUUUCACAGCCUGACUGAGCAGAAGGUUCAUAUGAUGCCCAGGGAGGAUGCUCAUGGCAUGGCUGAGGGCCACAGCCUUGCUGUUCCAAAGGAGGAACAACUUCUGCAGCCCAGGAGUGAAUGCUGGAGACCUCCCUUGUUACUGAUGGGGACCCAUCAUCAUCUGUCCCCACCAGAAUGUGACAUCUGAGACAACUGUCCUGUGUGAGCUCUGGGCACUGUUCUGGCUGUUAAGAUUUUAUUUCACCACAUCAGUCCAAAGCUGUGUUUGAUAGAUGGCAACUGCAGCCAAUGGUCUACUGAGGGUCUUGGAUUUGAGGUGAAUGAGCAUCUACUGAUCAGCUCUUAUUGCCAUGGAGCAUCUCUGACUACUGUGGUCAUCUCCAGCAAUUUGGAAUCUAAAUAACACAUAAAACCUCCCUGACUGAUCUUGAGGCUACCCAGACUAUUUUGGAUCACAGAAUGGAUGAUUUCUUCAGGGCUCUGAGAGACAACGCUUGGCUAUCAGUGUUCUUAGAGCCCAGUCUUUGUACUGGGAGUGUGUCACUGGCAACAAAUGGCCUUUGGUGCUUACAGUAUCCCAACACACCUCUGUAGCUUCACCUGGAGAUGCUGAGAACAGUUGUGUGAAUGGGGAGAAGAGAAAACAGCUGCUGGAUCUGACAGAGCAUCACAUGUAGCUUUGGACUGAUGUCAGUAACCCAGAAGUUCUACUGCUGAGCUCAUCCCACAAGCAGAGCCCUGGUGGUCAGUUCCCUCCCCACCUUGAGCCCCUCACCCAGCCCUUGUACAGCCCCCUGUUUCUCCAUGCCUAGCAUGUCAUUAAGGACAACCCUGCUUCCUGCAGCAGGGAGGAGGGCUGCAUUACCACCAAUGGGGUGUCAGGCUCCCAGCAAGGUCUCAAGGUAAACAGUUCAGCUUUGGUGCUUUCCUUGGAAGUUGCUGUUUGUGUCGCAGAGCUCAUGUGCCUGAGAGACUGUCUGUGAUUUUAUUUAUUUAUCUUUCCUGACUCUAUCAGUUGUUCCAAUAAAAGACACCCCCUUUCCUUACCAGCCUGCUCUGCACUUUUGAGCUCAGGUCUUCUUGUCAGCAGCACAGAGUAAGGGAUAGGACUGGAGCUUCCCAACUGUGGGGUAUCUGGGAUGUCAGCUCUGUGCUGAGCACUGGGUUUACAUGAGAGGCCACAGUGAAUGUCCUUCCUAUAUCAGAGAGGAUCUCAACUCUCCCACCUGCUGUCUUUGAUGCAGAGGAAGCAUGUAAAGAUCUCCCCAUCUCCUUCUGCAGGGGCUGUGAUGGGGGACUUUUGGGGCUUAUCCCAGCUGUGGUCUGACCCUGCCCAGGCAGCAUUGGUGCUCUCUGCCCCUGUAGUGCUACACACUGCAGUGGUAUCCCAAGUGAUGCCCACUGGCUGUGGAUGGUGCUGCUCAGAGCACUGGGGCCAUACUGGUCCUUGCAGGCUGCUGUAAUUCAGUUUAAAGCCAUGUUGUAAGGCAGCCCCAUUGGGAUGUUCCCUCUGUCAGGAGGCAGCAAAACACAUUGGACUCAUUCAUGUGUCACCUUGUUCUGAUACAGACAGCUUUCCCAGCACUAGAGGUUCCCUGGGGUGAUAUCCUUUGGUCUGCAAGCAUUAAUUGCCAUUAAUUGCCCUCCUCAUUAUUUAUUAAAAAAAAAAAAAUAGGGCUGUGGAAGAAAUAGAAUUGUCACCAAGUUUGGAAAAUAAUGAGCAUAUCACCUGUGGGGAGAAGUGUUUGGUAAAAACACCCAGCACUGUAAUAAGGGACAGGGUGCUUGCUGGCAAUCAUGCAGCAUCACAGCCAGGUGGAAGGAGCAGAAUGAAAAUGAAGCUUCGGAUGGGGCUGCAAACUUUUCAGCUUCAGAGUGUA